rnacentral:rRNA from 1 species
AUGAACGCUGGCGGCGUGCCUAAUACAUGCAAGUCGAGCGAACAGACGAGGAGCUUGCUCCUCUGACGUUAGCGGCGGACGGGUGAGUAACACGUGGAUAACCUACCUAUAAGACUGGGAUAACUUCGGGAAACCGGAGCUAAUACCGGAUAAUAUAUUGAACCGCAUGGUUCAAUAGUGAAGGACGGUUUUGCUGUCACUUAUAGAUGGAUCCGCGCCGCAUUAGCUAGUUGGUAAGGUAACGGCUUACCAAGGCAACGAUGCGUAGCCGACCUGAGAGGGUGAUCGGCCACACUGGAACUGAGACACGGUCCAGACUCCUACGGGAGGCAGCAGUAGGGAAUCUUCCGCAAUGGGCGAAAGCUUGACGGAGCAACGCCGCGUGAGUGAUGAAGGUCUUCGGAUCGUAAAACUCUGUUAUUAGGGAAGAACAAAUGUGUAAGUAACUAUGCACGUCUUGACGGUACCUAAUCAGAAAGCCACGGCUAACUACGUG